rnacentral:misc_RNA from 1 species
GGCGACAUGGGGAGACCCCUGCGCCUCAAUUUCACCGGCUGGCCGUCGCCCGUCUUAGCGUUGCAACACCUAGAUCGCUACUGAUAAGGGCGUACAAGCGCUAUGCUGUAAGGAUCUCACAUUGGAGGAGACAUCGGAAUUUCAAUCGAAAUUCGAACAAGGUUGACCUCGGAUCGGGUAGGAAUACCCGCUGAACUUAA